rnacentral:rRNA from 1 species
UACGGAGGGUGCUAGCGUUGUUCGGAAUCACUGGGCGUAAAGGGCGUGUAGGCGGUCUGUUAAGUCUGAUGUGAAAUCCCUCGCUCAACGAGGGAACUGCGUCGGAUACUGGCAGACUUGAGUACCGGGAGAGGAAGGUGGAAUCCCGGUGUAGCGGUGAAAUGCGUAGAUAUCGGGAGGAACACCGGUGGCGAAGGCGGCCUCUGGACGAUGACUGACGCUGAGACGCGAAAGCGUGGGGAGCAAACAGGG